rnacentral:rRNA from 1 species
GUAGGGGGCAAGCGUUAUCCGGAUUUACUGGGCGUAAAGAGCGCGUAGGCGGUUCCGUAAGUUGGUUGUGAAAGUUCGAGGCUCAACCUCGAAACUGCGUCCAAUACUGCGGGGCUGGAGUGCAAGAGAGGCAAGUGGAAUUUGCGGUGUAGUAGUGAAAUGCGUAGAUAUCGCAAGGAACACCAGUGGCGAAGGCGGCUUGCUAGCUUGUAACUGACGCUGAGGCGCGAAAGCUAGGGGAGCGAACGGGAUUAGAUACCCCGGUAGUCCUAGCCCUAAACAAUGUUCACUAGGUGUUGGUGGUAUUGACGCCAUCAGUGCCGCAGCUAACGCAUUAAGUGAACCGCCUGGGGAGUACGGCCGCAAGGUUG